CUCAAAGAAAAUCUGAAAACCCUCCUUUUUUCCUCUCUGGCCAAGCGAAUUCCGGCCAACCCCCAACGAUUACUCCGUCGCACGCGCCACCGCUCGCGGCGGUCAGAAGGUCAAAAGCCCUAUUUUUUUCCAGGCGUUUCAGAGGUAGCCCCUUUCCUUCUUUAUUUUUUGAAAUAUUUUAUGUAUAUAUAUAUAAUAUUCAUAUGCUUCGAUACUGGAAAAUGAAAAAGAGAAAUAAAAGAUACAAAAAUAUAUAAAAAAAAAGGAGAAUCACCUUUAUUCUGUGAUUUGAAAAAAUGUUCUUUUAUUGGAUAUAUGUGUGUAUACUAUUGUGUUUUUUUUUUACAACAAUAGCAUUCGGGCUUUAUAGCCACUAGUUACAUUUGGUAAGAAAUAUUUCCUUUAAUUUCUUCCUAUUUUGCGUUGCUAUGCUGUUUUCCCUUUCCAUUUGUGUGCAAGUGAACACGGAAAUCACGGCGGUGAUGAAGACUUCGAUGAUGGUGGCGAUGGACCCGGCCUUGACUGCGUACUGGUGCUAACGGCGCAAGGUUUUCUGAUACUUGGUAUGGCUUGGGAGUUGCGGCGCAAACCCUAGCUAGGGUUUCCCAAAACUGAAAAUAUGUUAGGCCAAUUGGGCCAAUUUAGUCUUGGGCUAGGGUGUAACGGGUAUAGUGUAAAUGGGCUGCUGGGUGUUGGGUUUAGGCUAAAUGUGUCUAUUUGUAAAAGGAUUGUUAAAAAAAAACUUUUAUUAUUAUUAUUUUUUGAUAUUUUGGACUAUGCCUUGGCUUCCAAUGGGCCGGGCAAAAUUAAGGUAUUACAACCAUCAAUACUGUUACCACAAGCAUUACAACACUGCCCAAAAUACGUGCGGUACCAAAGAAGAAGGUGUUUGUGUCCUCCGCUUAUGCAAGACAAAGGAAUUUCAACACAUCGAAGACAUAUAUGUUCUUUGCACAAAUAAAACUCACAUUUGAAGGCAAAACCACU
rnacentral:lncRNA from 1 species